UAGACUGGCCUCACUAGAUGCCAUCUAGGCCUAGCAGAGGAUCCCUGCAAGACUCUCAGCUGGGAGGGAAACUUGGAGGCCUGAACUGCUAAAGGAAAGCUAAGAUGGAGCUCAUCCCCAACCUUUCUAUAGAAACCUGGGUGCUGCUGGUUACUAGCCUGGUGCUCUUCUACAUAUAUGGGACCUAUUCUCAUGGCUUGUUUAAGAAACUAGGAAUUCCUGGACCAAAACCUCUACCGUUACUUGGCACCAUUUUCAACUACUAUGAUGGCAUGUGGAAAUUUGAUGAAGAUUGCUAUAAAAAGUAUGGGAAAAUAUGGGGGUUUUAUGAGGGCCCACAGCCUAUAUUGGCUAUCAUGGAUCCAGAGAUCAUCAAGAUUGUGCUGGUGAAAGAAUGUUACUCAGUCUUCACAAACCGUCGGUUUUUUGGGCCAGUGGGAUUCAUGAAAAAGGCCAUUACCAUAUCUGAGGAUGAAGAAUGGAAGAGACUUAGAACACUCCUGUCUCCAACCUUCACCAGUGGCAAACUCAAGGAGAUGUUCCCCAUCAUGAGACAGUAUGGAGAUAUAUUGGUGAGAAACUUGAGACGAGAAGAAGAGAAAGGGGAGCCCAUCAGUAUGAAAGACAUCUUUGGAGCUUAUAGCAUGGAUGUGAUCACUGGCACAUCAUUUGGCGUGAACGUCGAUUCCCUCAAUAAUCCACAGGAUCCCUUUGUGCAGAAAGCCAAGAAGAUCUUAAAAUUUAAAAUUUUUGAUCCAUUUCUUCUGUCUAUAAUUCUGUUUCCAUUUCUUACUCCAAUAUAUGAGAUGUUAAACUUUUCCAUUUUUCCAAGAGAUUCAAUGAACUUUUUCAAAAAAUUUGUAAAAAGGAUGAAGAAAGAACGCCUUGCUUCAAACCAGAAGAACCGAGUGGAUUUUCUACAACUGAUGAUGAAUACUCAGAACUCCAAAGGCCAAGAGUCACAGAAAGCUCUUUCUGAUCUAGAAAUGGCAGCACAAGCUGUUAUUUUUAUCUUCGGGGGCUAUGAUGCCACAAGCACUUCCAUUUCCCUCAUAAUGUAUGAACUGGCCACUCACCCUGAUGUGCAAAAAAAACUUCAGGAUGAGAUUGACAGAACUCUGCCCAAUAAGGCACCUGUCACCUAUGACGCCCUGAUGGACAUGGAGUACCUGGACAUGGUGGUGAAUGAAAGUCUAAGAUUGUACCCAAUUGCUAUCAGGCUAGAAAGGGUCUCAAAAAAAGAUGUGGAAAUCAAUGGAGUGUUCAUUCCCAAAGGGACCGUAGUUAUGAUACCAAUCUAUCCUCUUCACCGAAAUCCUGAGUACUGGCCAGAGCCUCAGGAAUUCUGCCCUGAAAGGACCUCUCAUUGUCUUAGGAUUUCACUAAGUGGAGUAGAGUAGUUGGAUAGUGCACUCCAGGGCUGUAAUCAUCCCCACCUCCCAGCCAGCCACUGCGAGGCACACACCACCGUGAUCACAGUUCUGUGGACGUUCUCGGGAUCAAGCCCAGGUUCAGCAAGGAGAACAAGGGCAACAUUGAUCCAUAUAUAUACAUGCCCUUUGGAAAUGGACCCAGGAACUGCAUAGGCAUGAGGUUUGCUCUCAUCAGCAUCAAACUUGCUGUCAUAGGAGUCCUGCAGAACUUCACUGUCCAGCCUUGUGAAGAGACACAGAUCCCCCUGAAGAUCAGCAGGGAACCAAUUUUCCAACCAGAAAAACCCAUCAUCCUAAAGGUUGUGUCAAGAGAUAAACCCAGAACUGGAUCAUGAAUUUCCCUCAGAAAACAUGUUAUAUUCUUCAAGGAGACUGUGUCAUAGAACACAAGAGAAUUUAAUUAACUUUAGAACAACAUAAUAUGGGCAUACUCAACUUUCCUUGAUGAUUGAAUAUUCAGAAAUUCACUGAACAUGCUCAGUGACUAUGCAGUGUAUCAUCUAUUUUGUGAUUCAAAGGAAAUUAUUAACUCAAUGGUAGUUGUGGAUGUUCACCUUCUGAUUCUUGUGGGAAUGUCUACACUAAUUCCAGUUAGUUACAUCCAUUCUGAAUUCUAACUGCAGCAACUAUUUCUCUAUCAUUUUAUUAAUAGAAACCCUUGUAAUGAUGGUUAGUAAAUGUGUAUCAAGUUUUCUCUUUGUUAAAAUGUAUGAUAUUAAGUGUAUACAUAAAUAUAUCUUUUAAAAUGUG